UUGUUCGCAAUGGGCGCAAGCCUGACGACGCAACGCCGCGUGGAGGAUGAAGGUCUUCGGAUUGUAAACUCCUGUUGAUCGGGAAGAAUGGACUCCGGGUUAAUACUCCGGGGUAGUGACGGUACCGAUUGAGGAAGCCACGGCUACCUCUGUGCCAGCAGCCGCGGUAAUACGAAGGGGGCUAGCGUUGCUCGGAAUUACUGGGCGUAAAGCGCGUGUAGGCGGGCUUGUAAGUUGGACGUGAAAGCCCUGGGCUCAACCCAGGAAUUGCAUCCAAAACUACAAGUCUAGAGUGAUGGAGAGGGUAGCAGAAUUCCUGGUGUAGAGGUGAAAUUCGUAGAUAUCAGGAGGAACACCGGUGGCGAAGGCGGCUACCUGGACAUCAACUGACGCUGAGACGCGAAAGCGUGGGGAGCAAAC
rnacentral:rRNA from 1 species